GGAAUAUUGCACAAUGGACGAAAGUCUGAUGCAGCAACGCCGCGUGUGCGAUGAAGGCCUUCGGGUCGUAAAGCACUUUUCUGAGGGAAGAGAACGGACUGUACCUCCGGAAUAAGUCUCGGCUAACUACGUGCCCGCAGCCGCGGUAAUCCGUAGGAGGCGAGCGUUAUCCGGAUUUACUGGGCGUAAAGCGUGUGCAGGCGGUUUGGUAAGUUUGAUGUGAAAGCUCCCGGCUCAACUGGGAGAGGUCGUUCAAUACUGCCAGACUAGAGGACGGUAGAGGAGAGUGGAAUUCCCGGUGUAGUGGUGAAAUGCGUAGAUAUCGGGAGGAACACCAGUGGCGAAAGCGGCUCUCUGGGCCGGUCCUGACGCUAAGACACGAAAGCGUGGGUAGCGAAC
rnacentral:rRNA from 1 species